rnacentral:rRNA from 1 species
GAUGAACGCUAGCGGCAGGCUUAAUACAUGCAAGUCGAGGGACAGCACAGGUAGCAAUACUGGGUGGUAACCGGCAAACGGGUGCGGAACACGUACACAACCUUCCUUUAAGUGGGGGAUAGCCCAGAGAAAUUUGGAUUAAUACCCCGUAAUAUAGUUGAAUGGCAUCAUUUGAUUAUUAUAGCUACGGCGCUUAAUGGUGGGUGUGCGGCUGAUUAGAUAGUUGGCGGGGUAACGGCCCACCAAGUCUACGAUCAGUAGCUGAUGUGAGAGCAUGAUCAGCCACACGGGCACUGAGACACGGGCCCGACUCCUACGGGAGGCAGCAGUAAGGAAUAUUGGUCAAUGGACGCAAGUCUGAACCAGCCAUGCCGCGUGAAGGAUUAAGGUCCUCUGGAUUGUAAACUUCUUUUAUUUGGGACGAAAAAGGGCCCUUCUAGGUCAACUGACGGUACCAGAUGAAUAAGCACCGGCUAACUCCGUGCCAGCCGCCGCGGUAAGAC